rnacentral:rRNA from 1 species
GCACCACAAGAGCGUGGAGUAUGUGGCUUAAUUUGACUCAACGCGGAAAAGCUUAUCUGGUCCGGACACAGUGAGGAUUGACAGACAGUUAGACAGAAGUGAGGUUUUGGUAACAAUUGAGAGAGUUGAAGUUCUUUCAUGAUCUUGUGAGAGGUGGUGCAUGGCCGUUCUUAGUUCGUGUAGUGAUAUGUCUGCCUAAUCGCGUCACGAUAACCUAUUGGUCGACAACCCAAUUAUCACAACUGCAGCAUAACUCCCCUUGGGUGGGCGAGGCUCUGUGUAGGAUAGACCUCUGAACAGUACGCAACGAACGCGAUCGUAAUCCCUUGUUGAGUGGCCAUCCUGUAAGCUGCUGGAUUAGGAACCCAGUGGUAUUAUCUCAGCCACAGAUUUUCUGGUUGUAGUGGGCCAGUUUUGAAACUCGGGGAACAUCUGUGACUUUCUUUCUUAACGCAGAGGAAGGUUAU